GUUAUUUUUAUAAUUCCAUGUAUAUUGGAUUUUCUUUUCCCUUUAAUCUAAACCGGUAAACUCUUCAGUUUGUAAACGUGAUAGGCUUUGGGCCCAUAAUUGCGUUGGCCCUCUCAUUUCCAAACAAUCUGGUACCAUCACAGUAAUUCUUAUUAGCUCACCACAAAUGUAUCGAUUCAUACUCAAAUAGUUAUCUGGUUUUGUUUAAAUCGCAGGGAAAUUCUUAGUGGUUGAAUAGUUUCUUCGUCCUUGUAAGUACUUUAUUACGACUCGUCGCAAUUCUCUGAUAAUAUGUUACAGUACUCGUGGUUUUUUAGGGAAAUUUCUAUUUGGUUAACUCGAUCAUGAGCUGUGUAGGAAACAUGGCGGUUCCAUUGAUGACCAAGAAGAUCGUGAAGAAAUGUGUUCAUGACUCAUGAGUUUAUUAGACCUCGGAGUGACAGGAGAAUCACUGUCAAGAUGUAAAAAUCAUUCAAUACUACAAGAAAUCUGGAGGAGACCAAAGGGUAUUGAUUCACGUGUAAGAAGAGAGUACAAAGGAUGUGCAUUGGAUAUGGAUCAGACAAGAAAAUCCGUUACUAUCUUCCAAAUGGUUUCAAGCUGCUUAUGAUGCAUAAUCGGACAUACUGUGGCGAGAUUGCGCACAAUGUAUCGACAAAGAAGAGGAAGGAGAUUGUUGAGCGUGCAUCUCAAUUGGGUGUUGUUAUUACCAACAGAUUGGCUAGGUUGCGAAGCCAUGAGGACGACGAGCAGAGAGAUUAAAAAAGAUUCUUUUAUGCCUUUAAAUGUUUCUUAUUGAAGAUUUUGUCUUGGGAUUAGCAUCAUGCGUUAAAUCUUGAGAUUUAUGGUGACAAAUGUUUGAAACUAGUCAAUCAUUUGUUUAUCAUCUA